CUCGUAAAGUUAUCAAAUCUCCAAGAACUUUCAUUACGUGACUGCCGAGAGCUCAAGCGUCUUCCCCCUCUUCCAUGUAAACUGGAGCAGCUAAACCUAGCAAACUGUUUCUCAUUGGAGAGUGUAUCCGACCUUUCAGAGUUAACGAUCUUGACGGAUCUCAAUCUCACAAACUGUGCGAAAGUGGUUGAUAUUCCAGGCCUAGAGCACUUGACGGCUCUGAAAAGAUUAUACAUGACCGGAUGUAACUCCAACUACUCCCUUGCAGUAAAGAAAAGACUUUCCAAGGUGAUUCCAAAAACUCCACAGAAUCUCAUCAUGGCCUAUUUAAAAAACUUUCUUACACCACUUUUGAUUUGUUACUGCAGGCUUCUUUGAAGAUGAUGCGGAAUCUGAGCUUGCCUGGAAACAGGGUCCCGGACUGGUUCUCGCAAGGCCCUGUCACAUUCUCAGCUCAACCGAACAGAGAGCUCAGAGGUGUAAUCAUUGCUGUUGUUGUGGCUCUUAAUGAUGAAACCGAAGAUGACGACUAUCAGCUGCCUGAUGUGAUGGAGGUUCAAGCCCAAAUUCAUAAACUUGAUCAUCACAAAUGCACCAACACAUUGCAUCUCUCCGGAGUGCCUAGAACAAAUAACGAUCAGCUUCACAUCUGCCGAUACUCAGCUUUUCACCCACUGGUUACGAUGUUGAAAGACGGGUACACCAUACAGGUGAUCAAACGAAACCCACCAAUCAAACAAGGCGUUGAGCUAAAGAUGCAUGGCAUUCAUCUCGUUUACGAGGGGGAUGAUGAUUUGGAAGGCAGAGAAAAUACUUUACCCGAGACUCAACAAACCGUUUCUCAGAAACUUGCCAAUUUUUUCAGCUCUUUCGAAGAAGAAGAAGGUGAAACCAUCUCAGAAAGUGAAUCUACAGUUAUAUGAUCUGCUAGUGCAGAUAGGUUAAGAAACUGCUCACAAAUAAUCUUAAUCGAUACAAAAUGUUUGUUGCUCAUAUACGAUUUGGUGUUUUGGCUUUUGUGUUUUUCUUUGUUCCUUGUCUCUUUAGUCUUUACCUUUUGAUAAUACAAACAAUAUAAAUAAAUAAAACCAAAAAGAAGAGGAAACUCUUGUUUCCAAUGAUCUCGGGCAUUCUUUAAUAACAAUCCAACAGAACUGUGAAGGAAUCUUCUUCUGUGUUUUUUGUUUUGACGGCUUCCAUCUUUAAGAAAGUCAAUGGAUAGAAAAGAAUAAAAUAGAACAUGUUGCUUGUGUGUCCUAUAGCACUAACGAAAAAGAACACUGCAUCUGCGUAUCCUUUUUGUCUUUCAAAACCUUAAUUAGCAGUGUGUGCCGUUCUGAUUUAAGAUAGAUAUGGAACUGCCUGACGUUCCGGUGUGGAGAAGAGUCAUGUCCGUUGUUUGGGAUUAUAUAAAACUGUUUGCGUGUGAUGUAACACUAAAGCCUAAAGACUCUAAACUAUAAUAACUAUAUAACUUCUUUACUGAUUGUCGUGAAAGAGUUUCUGCAUUCUUUGAGGCGUUGACUUUCAAUAUUGAUAUCGAAGAAGAAAGAUCGGAGAUAAUGAUGAAGACCGGUGCUGUUGUUUCCAAUCCACGUUCGAGGGUCAAGUGGGACGCAUUCCUGAGUUUCCAAAGAGACACGAGCCACAAUUUCACGGAUCGUCUCUAUGAAGCGCUUGUCAAGGAAGAGCUCCGGGUUUGGAACGAUGAUUUGGAACGUGUGGAUCAUGAUCAUGAUCAUGAGCUACGUCCAAGUCUCGUGGAGGCUAUAGAGGACUCGGUGGCUUUUGUCGUCGUCUUAUCCCCUAACUACGCUAACUCUCACCUGCGCCUCGAAGAAUUAGCUAAGCUCUGCGAUCUAAAAUGUUUGAUGGUACCGAUCUUUUAUAAGGUUGAACCACGGGAAGUUAAGGAACAGAACGGUCCUUUCGAAAAGGAUUUUGAAGAGCAUUCCAAAAGAUUUGGCGAGGAGAAGAUACAACGAUGGAAGGGAGCUAUGACUACGGUCGGAAAUAUCUCCGGAUUCAUUUGCGGGUAUGUAUGACUUCAAUUUCUCAUCUCUAGUUUUGUUUCCGCAUUUCUAAUCUCUUUUAUACAAGUAAGUUUGGUAGAGAUACUUUGACAUAUGCUACAUCAUCAUCUAAAACUUCUAAGCAUCAUCUUUAUGUUUCUUGAAAUCAUCUCUCCCAUUCACCAUUUAAUUUACUACGAAUUUUCGAAAAUUUUGGAAUUGGAAAAGACUCUGGUUCUCUUAUUGUCUUUCAACUACUAAAGCCAAGUUUUUGUUCAGAGAUCAAAACUAUAUGAGUAACUAUAGGACAUAGGCAAAAUAUUCAUUAGAAUUUCUUUGAUCUGUUAUUUGCUUUGAUUCGAUUAGAAAAUUUCGGAUAGAUGUGACUACACGAAGCAAAUCAAAAUACUAAAAAUCAAUAUCGGUUAAACUGUAGUGCUCUGCAAUACGUAUAUAGAAAUAGACAAUAAUUACAGAUAUAAGUAUUCAUAUAUAUAUAUAUAUAUAUAUGUAUAUAAGUUUUGUGUAUAUUUAUUCAUCAAAUUAGUUAUUUAAAUAUUAAAUUUUAAACAAAUCAAGAAAAGUAUAUUUGAAUAUAAUGUUGUUAUUAUUGGUUUAAAAUUUGUUUUUAACAUAAUUUAUUUUUAUAAUUAAUUAAAAACUUUUAAGAAGUAACUCGGAUACACCAAAAAUCUAGGAUAUCAUUUUGUGCCAAGGUACUACUAAUUAAUCUAAGCUUAGAGUAAAAAAGAUGAGUCAAGUAAUUUAACACUGCGUGUCGUUCUGAUUGACUACAGAAAGAACUGUGUGUCGUUUCAGAAAUAAGGGAAAAAGAGAGUCAAAUGCGAAGUUUUUUUUUUCUUUUUUAACAAAACCACAAAGUGUUGACCUUUUCCCACAAAAAUCGAAAAGCUUGGUCGUCAUCGUUGUAAUGUCCCAGAUUCUGGAAUCCGAGAAUCGAAAAGCGUCAUGAAGUGAGGUUUGCAGGAGAUCCAAUUGGAGAUGGAGACUGGCGUUGUUCCGAAUAGGCUAAAGUACAGCGUCUUUCUGAGCUUCCGAGGAUUCGACACGCGAACCAACUUCUGUGAGCGUCUGUAUAUCGCUCUCAACGAAAAGCAAAAUGUCCGAGUCUUUCGCGACAACGAGGGUAUGGAAAAAGGUGAUAAGAUCGAUCCAAGUCUCUUCGAAGCCAUUGAGGACUCGGCUGCCUCCGUCAUCAUCUUAUCCACUAACUACGCUAACUCUUCUUGGUGCCUAGAUGAAUUAGCUUUGCUCUGCGAUCUUAGAUCGUCUCUGAAACGUCCCAUGAUACCUAUCUUCUAUGGAGUCAAUCCCGAGGAUGUCCGCAAACAGAGCGGUGAGUUCAGGAAAGAUUUUGAAGAGAAAGCGAAAAGUUUUGAUGAGGAGACGAUUCAGCGAUGGAAGCGAGCUAUGAAUUUAGUCGGAAAUAUCCCUGGAUAUGUUUGCACGUAGGAAACCAUGUAGACAUAUACUCAUACUCGAUAACAUGGUUUUUUUAUUUAGCUGCUUUUUGUUGAAAUUCCGUUGUUGUUGGCAGAGCAAAGACUGUUGGAGAUGACAAUGAAGGCAUAAACAGAGAGAAAGUAGAUGACAUGAUUGAUCUGGUGGUGAAAAAGGUUGUAGCUGCUGUGAGGAAUAGACCAGAGAUAGUUGCAGACUACACUGUUGGUCUGGAAUCACCUAUAAAGGAUUUGAUGAAACUGUUCAACACUGAAUCCAGUUCUGGCAUCCAAGUCAUGGGACUUUAUGGUAUGGGCGGUAUUGGGAAGACUACCCUUGCAAAAGCCUUUUAUAACAAGAUCAUUGUUAACUUCAACCGUCAUCGAGUUUUCAUCGAAAGCGUUAGGGGAAAAUCGUCAGACCAAGAUGGUUUAGUCAAUCUACAAAAAACUCUCAUCAAGGAACUUUUCCGUUUGGUACCUGAAAUAGAGGAUGUUAGCAUAGGCCUGGAAAAGAUAAAAGAGAAUGUUCAUGAGAAGAAGAUUAUUGUGGUUUUGGAUGAUGUUGAUCACAUAGACCAGGUUAAUGCGCUGGUUGGUGAAACAAGCUGGUAUGGUGAAGGAAGUCUUAUAGUCAUCACUACCAGAGAUUCUGAGAUUCUGAGUAAGCUCUCAGUGAACCAACAGUAUGAGGUCAAGUGCUUGACUGAACCGCAGGCGUUGAAGCUCUUUAGUUUUUAUUCACUACGAAAAGAGAAACCACCAACACAGGGUUUAUUGGAGUUGUCCAAGAAGAUUGCCGAGGUGACGGGACUGUUGCCACUGGCUGUUAAAGUGUUUGGUUCUCAUUUUUAUGACAAGGACGAAAACGAAUGGCAAGUUGAACUAGAGAAGCUGAAAACCCAACAAGACAAACUUCACGGUGUUCUGGCUCUGAGUUUCAAAUCUUUAGACGAAGAAGAAAAGAAGAUAUUCCUCGACAUUGCAUGUCUCUUUCUCAAAAUGGAUAUAACAAAAGAAGAAGUUGUCGACAUACUGAAAGGAUGUGGGUUAAACGCCGAGGCUGCUCUCCGUGUUCUUAUACAGAAAUCUCUCCUUACAAUCUUGACAGACGACACUCUGUGGAUGCAUGAUCAGAUCAGAGACAUGGGUAGGCAGAUGGUUCAUAAAGAAAGCAGCGAUGAUCCUGAGAUGCGGAGUAGACUCUGGGAUCGUGGUGAAAUAAUGAACGUAUUGGACUAUAUGAAGGUUAUUUAUAUCUAUAUCUUCAUUUAUAUAUCAUUUGUGUUUGACUUACAUUCUCACGACCGUGUUUUUUUGUAAUGAGAUAACAGGGAACAUCAUCCAUUCGAGGAAUCGUACUAGACUUUAAUAAGAAGUUUGCGAGGGACCAUACUGCAGAUGAAAUUUUCUCGAGUAAUCUACGCAACAAUCCGGGUAUCUACUCUGUAUUCAAUUACCUGAAGAAUAAGUUAGUAAGAUUUCCAGCAGAGGAAAAGCCAAAAAGGUCUGAAAUCACCAUUCCCGUAGAAUCUUUUGCACCAAUGAAGAAGUUGAGACUUCUUCAGAUUAAUAACGUGGAACUGGAAGGAGAUCUUAAACUUCUCCCAUCUGAACUCAAGUGGAUACAGUGGAAAGGUUUCCCAUUAGAAAAUCUCCCUCCGGAUAUUCUUUCUAGGCAACUUGGUGUUCUUGAUCUUUCAGAGAGUGGAGUAAGACGAGUCAAGACUUUGCCCCGCAAAAGGGUAAGCUUUCUUAUUUCCUAUAGCUUGGGGAGUUAUAUAGUUUCACUGCUAAAAUAAUUCUUUCUGCUUUUCAGGGGGAUGAGAACUUGAAAGUUGUAAAUUUGCGUGGUUGCCACGGCUUAGAAGCCAUUCCUGAUUUAUCAAACCAUAAUGCACUAGAAAAGCUUGUUCUUGAGCGAUGCAACCUUCUGGUGAAGGUUCCUAGAUCAGUUGGUAAUCUGGGAAAAUUGCUUCAGCUGGACCUUAGAAGGUGCUCAAGUCUUUCUGAAUUUCUUGGGGAUGUUUCUGGACUGAAGUGUCUUGAAAAAUUUUUCCUCUCUGGCUGUUCAAAUCUGAGUGUGUUACCAGAAAACAUUGGUUCCAUGCCAUGUUUGAAAGAGCUUCUUCUUGAUGGAACUGCGAUAAGUAACUUACCGUACUCUAUUUUUCGCCUCCAAAAGCUUGAAAAGCUUAGUCUAAUGGGUUGCAGGUCUAUUGAAGAGCUACCUUCGUGUGUAGGAUAUUUGACAUCGCUCGAAGAUUUAUAUCUUGAUGAUACUGCAUUGCGAAACCUUCCUAGUUCUAUUGGAGAUCUAAAAAAUCUCCAGAAGCUGCAUCUGAUGCGCUGCACGUCCCUUUCUACGAUUCCUGAGACUAUAAAUAAGCUCAUGUCAUUGAAGGAAUUAUUCAUCAAUGGAAGCGCGGUGGAGGAGCUACCUAUAGAAACCGGCUCACUCCUAUGUUUGACUGACCUCUCUGCAGGAGAUUGCAAAUUUCUGAAACAGGUUCCGAGUUCAAUUGGUGGAUUAAAUUCUCUUCUCCAACUUCAGUUGGAUAGCACCCCAAUUGAAGCUCUACCAGAAGAGAUUGGAGACUUGCACUUUAUUCGACAACUUGACUUGAGAAACUGCAAAUCUCUGAAGGCUCUGCCUAAAACAAUCGGAAAGAUGGACACACUCUAUAGCUUAAACCUUGUAGGCUCUAACAUUGAGGAACUGCCGGAAGAAUUUGGCAAGCUGGAAAACCUAGUUGAACUGCGAAUGAACAACUGUAAAAUGCUCAAACGGCUUCCUAAAUCGUUUGGAGACUUGAAAUCUCUUCACCGUCUGUACAUGCAGGAAACUUUGGUCGCGGAGUUGCCAGAAAGUUUCGGAAACCUCUCAAAUUUAAUGGUACUGGAAAUGCUGAAGAAGCCUCUUUUUAGAAUUUCUGAGAGUAAUGUUCCAGGUACAAGCGAAGAACCUCGUUUUGUAGAAGUACCAAACUCUUUCUCAAAGCUCUUGAAGCUUGAGGAACUAGAUGCUUGCAGCUGGAGAAUAUCGGGUAAAAUCCCUGAUGAUCUUGAGAAGCUUUCGUGUUUGAUGAAACUGAAUCUGGGGAAUAAUUAUUUUCAUAGUCUUCCGUCUAGCCUCGUAAAGUUAUCAAAUCUCCAAGAACUUUCAUUACGUGACUGCCGAGAGCUCAAGCGUCUUCCCCCUCUUCCAUGUAAACUGGAGCAGCUAAACCUAGCAAACUGUUUCUCAUUGGAGAGUGUAUCCGACCUUUCAGAGUUAACGAUCUUGACGGAUCUCAAUCUCACAAACUGUGCGAAAGUGGUUGAUAUUCCAGGCCUAGAGCACUUGACGGCUCUGAAAAGAU
rnacentral:lncRNA from 1 species